AUAUUUUUGUUUCAGCAUAAACAUAAGUUUUUAAAGUAUAAUCUUUUUAUUAUAAUCAAAAAUUUCAUAGUUUUUAAGAGUUCCAUUUUAUCUGUCUCCUGCAGAAGUACAGGACGGACAAAGAUUCUAAUGUUUAGUGUUACGUGGCCCUUUCUUACUGGAGACAACAAUCCACUGAAUCCGGAUGUCAAACAAGGCUCGUAGUGAGGAUGAAGUGUCUGAUGAGAAAGCGUGGCUUGAAUCUGAAAGGGUGUGGCUGAUUCACAGGGGCGGGUUCACCGCUGGUAGACAGGUGAAGGAGAGUGAUUCCGGUGAACCCAUGGGUCAGGGUCAGGUCAUGGUUAGGCUGGACUGUAACGAUGAAGUUAUCCAGGUUGAAGAGGAUGAUGUAUAACGAGCCAAUCCUCCGACCUUCCACAGGGUUGAAGAUCUUGCAUUUCUCAGGUACGGGAACAACUUGAUCUACACGUAUGCUGGUCCUAGUCUAGUUUCCAUCAACCCCUACAAACCUUCCUAUCUACUCCAGCAAGAU
rnacentral:lncRNA from 1 species